AUUGAACGCUGGCGGCAGGCCUAACACAUGCAAGUCGAGCGGAUGAAGGGAGCUUGCUCCUGGAUUCAGCGGCGGACGGGUGAGUAAUGCCUAGGAAUCUGCCUGGUAGUGGGGGAUAACGUCCGGAAACGGGCGCUAAUACCGCAUACGUCCUGAUGGAGAAAGUGGGGGAUCUUCGGACCUCACGCUAUCAGAUGAGCCUAGGUCGGAUUAGCUAGUUGGUGGGGUAAAGGCCUACCAAGGCGACGAUCCGUAACUGGUCUGAGAGGAUGAUCAGUCACACUGGAACUGAGACACGGUCCAGACUCCUACGGGAGGCAGCAGUGGGGAAUAUUGGACAAUGGGCGAAAGCCUGAUCCAGCCAUGCCGCGUGUGUGAAGAAGGUCUUCGGAUUGUAAAGCUCUUUAAGUUGGGAGGAAGGGAAGUAAGUUAAUACCUUGCUGUUUUGACGUUACCAACAGAAUAAGCACCGGCUAACUUCGUG
rnacentral:rRNA from 1 species